rnacentral:rRNA from 1 species
UACGUAGGGACCAAGCGUUGUUCGGAUUUACUGGGCGUAAAGGGCGCGUAGGCGGCUUGUCAAGUCACUUGUGAAAUCUCUGGGCUUAACCCAGAACGGCCAAGUGAAACUGACAUGCUAGAGCGCAGAAGGGGCAAUCGGAAUUCUUGGUGUAGCGGUGAAAUGCGUAGAUAUCAAGAGGAACACCUGAGGUGAAGACGGGUUGCUGGGCUGACACUGACGCUGAGGCGCGAAAGCCAGGGGAGCAAACGGG